rnacentral:lncRNA from 1 species
AUAUGAUGCCACAGUGGCCUGGGGACGUCUGGAGGAAGCACCUGCUAGGAUAAUCCCUAUGCCACAGGCAAGAGGCAGACCAUCCCCGACGGGCACAACGGCUUCUCCGGGGUGGAAACCAGGGAAGAAUGGAAAGUUGCGUCUGAACCCAGAUAUACCAGUUGGGAGGAUCUUGAGGAACCCCCGGAAUGCGGCUGCUUCGAAUGGUGGAGCUGUUGGUGCGACCGUCAAACCCAACGCCUCAGGGAGUUUUCAGGAGGUGCCGGAGGGUAAUACAGAGCAGGCCAGGCCAGGCCAGGCCACCUGUGCCAGCCAUCCUGGGCAGCCCCAACCCCUCCUCUUCAGUUUCAGGGAACCAGGGAUGUGUGGGCAGGUCGCAUCCAGGCUGGAGGACCUUGCAGGGGAGCAGGUUCCCCGGUGAUCCCUUCAGGGUCACCCUGAUGUCACGGUGGGCAGGGUGGAAACAGGAUUACCGGGGCGCCUCUUACCCGACUUGGAGUUAACCCAAGGCCCUGCAGCAGCAUCCCUUUGCUCUCCUUGAGGGAGGUGUGUGCCGGCUGUGCUGUGGUGGGUCUGCAAUGGAGUCAGCUGGGUGUGCGGCCCGGCCGAGGCGGCCAGACCGGGCGCUCAGGCCUCCUGCCUGGCUGCCCUGCAGUCUUUACAGAGCUCCACAUGGGAGAUACGGAGCGCCGCGCGGGAAUAUGAGUGCCGGUGGAAGAGGAAAGAGAAAAUCCGCCACACCCCAGGGUCCAGCACAUCCUCCGAAGACCUGCAAGGGUUGAAGGUGAGUGCAGGGGCUGGGCCACCCGACACCCAGGGCCCCGAUGCAGCAGGAAGGGCCCCGGGUCCCAGAAGCCAGCCUGUGCUCCCCUGGGCUCCCCCCUAGACUUCUGCUGCUACAGGAGUCUGGAUUCCCCUUCUCCCCAAACUUGCCCCCAUGGCCCUGCCCCUGCCAGGGCCAGAUGCAGAGUCUCUGGGCACAGAUUUGUAGGAAUAUCAGAAUAGAGCCUUCAGGGGUGCCUGGUCACCCAGUGGUUUAGCGCCUGCCUUCUGCCCAGGCCCUG